rnacentral:lncRNA from 1 species
CGUUAACAAAAAAUUCAUUUUCAUCUCUAUAUAGGUAAAGCUUUGACAGACAAGGAUUAAUCUUCAUCUGAAGCAGCCUCUGCAUCAUACUACCAUCCAGACCAGCCAAAGAAAACCCUGCUUCUGUGACAACCCUUUUCACUUUAUCCUCAGCCAGGGCACCAUGAAAAUUGAAAUGCCAGAAGGAAGUGGCUCUAUUUCUAUACUAAAGGAUGAACAAAAAGCCAACAGCUCAGAAGCAACCAUUUUUACUUGAUUUUAUGACGUAGAUGAUAGUUUCCUAGUGGACUGAAAAUUAAUCUACUACAUUUAUUCAUUUAAGUUGCUUCUUGCCCAGCCUGUAUUUUUACCUUUUAAUGGUAACAAAGCUAACAUUUCUUUCCAGUCACUUUGCAUAUCAUUUCCUUUCUCUUUAACUCUCUUUCGAAGUGAGAUGAUUGAUAGAUUCUUCUUCAGCAAUCAUUUACUUUGGUAGAUGAUUUUCUUUUUCCUUUGAAGUCGAUUUAGAAAGGGGCUGUACUGUGAUGAGUUAAUUAGCACAAAAACACAGAGUAUAUAACCUUAAUUAGGCAUGAUUAUAGGCUCAACGUAAUGGGAUGUCCUGAAACUGCAUGCUAUGCAAAUAUUAGACUCUUCACUCUUCCCAUUACAUCUGAAACCAUCAAGCAAAGGAUGUUUUGCAGUAUGUACCACAGUCACUGCCAGGUGCAAAUCUUUCAACAAAAGGUUGGUUUUUUUAUGGGUGUACAAAUUGGGGAAAGGAUAAUAAGAGGAUUUUUAGAAGGAAAAAAAAAUGGUUCAGAGAUCCAAAAAAUUGAAUUAAAUUCAGAUUGAAUUUUAUAAAUGGAGGAAUUUUACACUUUAGUAAGACAACUCAGUUAUCCUACCCAAAUUGUACCUCAUCUGGAAUUCUGAAGACACUUCACCAUAGACACCACUGUGAAUUAUGCAAAUGUUGAGAGAUCUUUCAAAUCCAGUAACCACUAAGAGUACUAUAAAACCAAUCUGGGGUUUAUUUGAGCUGUUAGGAUUAGGAAGAUAAUGAGUAAAUGAAAUCACAGUGAAUCCCCGAGUCCUAAUUUUAGCAAAUUAUUUGCUCAUUUCCUCUACCACCACGGUUUUUGUUAAAAUUGAAAGGUAAAAAGCAAGUGAAAAAUUGAUUUUCCCCUUCCUUACCUGAAGUGAAAAUAUCCAAGAAUAUGGUAUCCUUGGACAUUUGAAUAUUCAACAACUUAACAAUGUGAGAGCUCACAAUACAUGAUUCUUAGAUUAUGUCUUGAAUUGUGAGAUUUUUAGACUCAAUCAGGUAAGAAAUAAUAAGCUAUUUGGCUCUAGAAACUGAUGGCGACACUGAUGGGGUAGAAAUUCAAUAAGUAUGUGUUAGAAUAGUACCCAUUUUUAGUCUAAUAUGUCAUCCAUUCACUAGAGAUGAUAAUAAAAAGGGGAUUUACACAAUUACUGAAGGUUGAGAUCCAUAACAUUGUCUUUAAUAUAUAAGCUAAUACUUACUGAGCAUGUACUAUAUUUUAAGCAUAAUACUCACUAAUUUGUUGGCAUAGACUCCCGGAAUCAUCGUAAUAACCCCAUAAGAUAGUUAUCAUAAGUAGCCUGAUCUUACAGAUGAGGAAAAUGAGGAUUAGAGAAACUAAAAAAUGUCAUCUAUGAUCACAAAUCUAGGAACAGCAGGACCAGGGUUUGAACUUAAUGUCUGUCUGACUCCAGUCUGCUCGGCUCUUUAGUGCUUGUAAGUCCUCUGAUUGUCUCCUUAAUUAGUAGUACUUUUUUGAGAGCUGGAAAUGAGAUAUGAGAACAAAUAAAAAAAGACUUGAGAAUUAAAUUGAAAUACAGAAAUUCUCCAUUACCUGCUAUGUACAAAGGAGGCCCUGGUUACAUACCAUGUGUGUGAUGUGGGUGCAAGUGUCAUGGAAAUAGAAUUUGGAGUAGGGGAGACAGAAUUAUAUACAAAUUAUUGUAAUAAAUACAAGCCUGGAUCAUGUGACAUGUUAUCAUUGUUCAUAAGACAACAGGGAAAAAUAAGUACUGGAUGGAAAUGAGAAGACAAAGACUUAAAUCUAAUUUUUGUCACUUGCCAGUUAUAAGAAUGGAUCAAUAAAAUUUUCAGACAAAG